UCUCUCUCACUCUUUCUGUGCAAACAGGUUGAAUGAAUGGUAAAAAUCACUAUUUAUCUCCUCUAUAAAAUUUUGAUUAAUGGGAAAAAGGAUUUGUGAGACUAGUCUUAGGCUGUAGCAAAUCUGGUGUACUUUGCACUAUGAAUUUGUCUUUGUGUGUAGUUCUGUUAUAAAAGGGGUUACCUAUAAGCCUUCUAUUUAAGCUGUACCAGCAAACUGACCAGUUACAAAGUUUGUUGCAGAUUCCUGAAACAAAAAGUAGGUAAAGUUUCCUUCUCGUCUUGUUUUAUGUCCUUGGGAGCUUGACCUUGUGAGUAUAUGGGGAUACUUUCUCUUGGUCUCCACUAUCUAGAGGGUGAAAAUUUUGGGGUUCAUGUCAACAGUUGGCCUAAAAAUUAUAGGCCACUGAAAAUUUUGGCCAAAACCACAAUUACUUUUGCAUGAACCUAGUAUCUUGGGCUCUUAAAAACCUUUGUAAGCUCAAAAUUGGCUGCUCUAGGUUCCUUCUAGGAAGGGCAAUAAACACUGUCCAGUGCUGUAGCUCAGAAGCUAAGGCUUUGCCAUUUCACAAUGGUGACUUGGGUUCAAUUCCCAGCUUAGAGAAUGUACUUUCUGUUUGAUAUUUGUGUGAUCUUUGCCAUUUGUUGAUUCUCCUCACCUUCAUGAACAACUUCUGACUUUCCAGCUUGAAUUUUCCUUUCUCUGAGCUACCUUUGAAGACUCUAGAUCUUGUAAAAACUGCUUACCACCUCUUUGAAAAUACCUCAUACACUCAUGGUUAAGUCAUAAACUUAGUUAAGGCUUAUUGUUUCACCUAGGAAGCUACCUUUAAUAAAGUUCAAAAGCCAGAAAUACUGGCUGUAGGUCCUUACUAGAGUCUAGUAAUAAGAGAUCUGGUUAAACGUCAGCUUAAGUUAAAGCAGAUUAUCCAAGCUAUACAUAUAUUUAAAAGGUCUUUAUGGCUCCCCACCACCCCCACGCCCCAGUUGAAUCUUGUUUUUCUGAAAAAAAAAGCUAUUUUCUUCUCAGUUGACUGAAUUGUUUUUCUCCAUUUUAUCUUCUUGCCACUGUUGACACCCAAAUGAGAGGACCUAAGAUAAUUUCUAACAGCCUGGGACUCCUGGGGAAAAGCAGAGGAGGAGCCACAGACUCCAUUUUGGAAAAACUUCUGAUUUCCUCAUGGAACCCCAAGAAGUGAAAGUGGAUGGAUCCCUCUCAAAAUCUAAGGCUUUGACUGGAAUGGCAUGCUUUCACAUAUAAACAUCCUGCUCUAAGGAAUCAAAGUUGACUUAUAGAGCUAAUAAAAGCCCCUUGGAAAAACUAGCUUCAUACCUUGCCUAUGCAUUCCCUGUACAGGAUUCUUGACCUGUGGCUAGAGGUGAACACUUAACCAUGAGUAGAAGCUCUGGAGAUGAAAAAGUAUUAGAAAAACACAGAUAACAAAGAAUCAACAGAGCGCUUGGAUAUUUAUGUUCAUGGCAUGUGUAUAUAUUUUACAUGUAUCAAGAUUAAGACAAAAAGGUUGCCCCCUUCAGCAUGUCGAGUCAUGUGAGGGUGGCUACCCUCUGGGGCUGCAGCUUUCUCACUUUGGAAGACUUAUGAGUUUUUUCCUGUGCCCUGUACAGUGAAGAACAAAGAAACUAGUGACAGUUUGAUGAGAAACAGAUAUACACAUAGCUUCAAAGAAUCUCUCCAUAAAGUACUUAUUCAUUAUAAAAGGAAAAAAAUAAUUUCAUAGGGAAGAAACCUGGUGGAUGACAUCUUAAUCAAGUGAUCAAAGUUACCACCACGACUAAUGACACAAACCAACAUUAUAUGCCUCCUGAUGUGAUGUGACAUGCUAGAAAGAAAACAACAUCAUUUAUACGGUAUUUCUGCCAGAGAAACAUAAUCUGCAUUUUCAUGUUAAAGUGAAGUCGAUUAUACAUAGCAUUGUUAAAAGUGAUUUUGGAGUUUUUCUCUUCAUACAAUUUUAAGGUUGUAAAGUUGACAGUCUGUUUUUAAUUCACUUUUACAAGUUGUAAAUGUUUUGCAAAUAUGUUUCUUUCCUGUAAGAUUUAUUUCUUAGCUGGUUAACCUAGACAAAUUGAUUUCCCAGAGGUUACUUUGUUUAAUGUUAUGGUACCUAUACACUAAAUAAUCUAUAAGGAUAAGACAAUAUACUUUGAUGUUUAUUUUACAUAUUUAUAAACAUUUUUGACUCAAAUUAUGAAAAAGUUUUUCCUAAAAUUUUCUAGUGGAUGUGCUGUCUCUUAACAUUCUCCUUAGCUGUCAAUUGAUUUCCUUGUUUAACUAUUUUAAAGUUCUUUAUAAUAGUUGUUAUUCAUAAAUCAAGUGCUUUUACUCUUACAAUAAAAAUAUACACUUAUAUUUCCACUCACAAUGCACUUAAAGAAAACUUUCAGUCCUGGUUACAUUUAAAAUAGUUACCUACAUUUAUUUUAUAUUGACAAUAUCUGAAUCAAAAACCCACUGAUAGCAUCUACUAAAGCUGAACAUUCACACAUUGCAUGAAAUAGGAAAGGAGGGCUUAUGUCCUCCAAUAGGUGUGUUCAUAGCAGUUUAGUAUAAAAUCCCCAAACUGCCUAUCAACAGUAGUGUCUCUCAAUAGGAGAAUGUAUAAGGACAUUUUAGUAUACUUAUACAAUCAAGCAGUGGAAAAAAAUAAACUAUUGCUUUAUGCACCAACAUGGAUAAAUAUCACAGACCUAUUGAUAAAUGAAAGAAGUCAGAAAUGAAAAGGCUGAAAAUUGUAUGAGCCAUGUAUGUGAAAAUCAAGAACAGACAAAACCAAUCUACAGUGACAGAUGUCAGAAUGAUGGUUACCUUUAGAGUUUAUUGAGUGCAAGAAUAUGGGUGUAGCCUUCUGGGAUGUUGAAAAUAUUCUCUAUGUUGAUUUGGGUAUGGCUUAAAAGGAUUUAUGCAUGUCUAGAAAGUUAUCAAGCUGUGCAAUUAAGACCUAUGUA
rnacentral:lncRNA from 1 species